UUUGCUACACCAGUCUUGUCCGUAUAGCCUUAUGCUCAUUUGCAUAACUCCAAUUCCACUUAGCUAGCAUUGCCUUGUCGGCAAGUCUAUGAUUCUCACUGCCAAUCCUCUUUACUCCUUAGGCCCGCAUAACCUUUUCAGGAGUAUAUCCCCAUAGAAAUCUCUCACUGGUUUGAUUAUCUUCUUUUCUACUGCCACCUGAGAACUCAUCUUCCGAAGUUAACUAGAGUUGGAAUUAGAAAUGGGGAGCGCGAGGGAGAAUUUGAGGCAUAAUAUUGGCCAUCCAUAGCAAAUCAAUCUGGCCGUCCUUUUUCCACAGAGUUCCUUACCGGAAUAUAGAAGAUGGGUUUCCCUUUCCUAAACUAAAACCUAAGUUUUUUGCUGUGGAUAAGCUUGCUCUGCCUUGUAUAAGUUAUUUUUCCUCUGAUUUAUUUUAUCGGAUCCACGGUUUCAAGCUCACAAUUAUUCUGGAAUUAUGCCCAUGUUCGGUCGUGUAUGAAGAUUUAGCUAACAACCAAAACAGUCUCUUCAACUGGCAAAGACAAGAGCGUGCCAAGAACAGUCUCCAAUGAGAAAAUUUCCACCAAUAGCAUAUUUAUAAUCUCAACCACAAGCGCUCGUUGCACGGUCACCGUCACUAUGUGGGUAAUUUCUUCUUGUUUUUUAAUUGCGUAGUCAAACUACUGGUAAUCAUAGCCUGCAAGAUUUGAAUUCUAGACUUCUCACAACUCAAAGACUUGUGAAGGCGAUGCAAACCGUUGAGCCUUCUGCUCAAAAAGGUUCCCAUGAGGAACUGCUAUCUAUCAAAAUGGAAAUAGUCUUGGGAGAAAAGACUAACAAGAUAAUCAUUGAAUAUUUGCCAAUAGAUUUAGUAACUGAGAUCUUGUGUCAGUUACAUUUAAAGAAUUUGACCGUGUUCAAGUGCGUAUCCAAAUCAUGGAACAAACUUAUUUCUCAUGUCUGUAUUCCAAGAAUUUCAGCAGAUUUUUGCGUCCUAAACUUAUACAGGGGAGACUUGUUUCGACGUUAUGAUGCCCGUUGUUAUUCUGAUAAAAUGCCUGAGCUGAAUUAUCGUGGUCCCAUUACAAAAGAUAGAGAUAACAAAACAUGUUAUCAUGAAAUUGACAGUUGUCAUGGGUUGUCUUUAUAUAUGGCCCAAGAUAUUUGUCGUUAUAUUGUGGUUAGCCGAGCGACAAAUCAGUAUUUUGAUAUACCUGAACCUCUGGAAGAUGUUGAAAGGAUGUUUGCUGCACUAGCCUUUGAUCCUGUCCAAUCCAAUUACUACAAAAUCGUCCUACCUCAUCCUUACUUUGAUUCUCCAAGCUUAGACAUAUUUUCUUCUGAAAUUGGUAAGUGGGUUAGGCACAUAGUACCUGGAGAUUGGGUUAAGCAUCUGUUUGUCGCGGAAUCUGGUUAUUAUAAGGGGAUUAAAUGGGCUAGAAAGACUGUAUACUUGGAUGGGAUGUUAUAUUUGCUGACUUUGGAAAAGCACCUUGUACUAUUUGACCUUAAUUCAUCGGUUGUGUCAGCUCAAGUCAUAGAAGUCCCAUGCCAGACUCGGACUAGCCAAACUGGAGUUAUUGGGCAGUGUAGAGGUGUUCUGUAUUAAGUAAAUUACAACAAAGAUUGUAGAUUGUCAAUGUGGCAGUUUGACUAUCAUAAUACAAGUGGAAGUUUUUGGAUUUUGAAGCAUUGCAUCUGUAUAUAUGACAUGUUGGAUCAGGAUCAAGCUAUCUUGCAUACUCUGAAGUUAAAUCAUCCCCGGCCUUGCCAUCUAUUUGAGCCUUAUGGUAUUCACCCACUUUUGGAUAUAGUCUUCCUUGGGUUAAAAGGAAGGAUAUACAGUUAUCAUCUCGAAAGCCGUAAGUGUGAACUUGUAUGGCGGACAGAAAAUUGCCUCGGUUGGCGCAAUGAUUUUGUUUACUAUUUCUCAUAUAUUUAUGUGAAUGUGAAAGAUUUUCGCAUGGAAGAUCAUGAGUACCUGUCUCUAACAAAGUCAGCAAGGGACCUGAAGUUGGAAAAUGUGUCUGAUGAUUGCACAACAGAUCAACAUGGAGUAAUUCCAAAGGUUUCUGUGUAAUAUUCCCGACCUGCUGUGGCUCGAUCAAGUGUAUGAUUAUUUAUGACAAAAUGCUUGAAAAAUAUAUUUAUUGUAAUCUGUAUGAUUAUUUAUGACAAAAUGCUUGAAAAAUAUAUUUAUCGUAAUCUUGUAUGAUCCCCUGCUUGUAGUAGAAAACAACUUCUAGUAGAUAAUUCUAAUAUCGGGAGUAACUCAAAUCUCAUAUUAGAUGGCUCUACUUCUUUUGUAACAUCGGCUCAUUCCGAGUCCUAGUUUUUACGCAAUAUCUUAUUUACAAUUUUUUUUUUUUUUAAUUGUAUUCUUGUAUUAGUGAGCUGCACUAUCUUUAUGUAUCAUGUAUUCAUGUAUCAUAUCGCUUUGAAGGUCAAGGCGGAAAGGGGAUGUAUCAUAGUUUAAUUUAUUUA